ACUGAUGCCUUUCCCCUCCCCGAGGCAACCUGAGCAACUAAGUGAAAAUCCUGUUUCAACACAGCUGAGGCUUCAGCUGGGUGUCUGAGGAAGAAGCAACAGAGGCCAUUACCUGGGUUGGAGAAGGGAGGCAGAAAAGGCCUGAGGUAUGAGGCCCGGCGGCCCACUGGGCCCCAGGAGAUGUGGGCUGGUACAGAGGCCUGAGCAGGGCGAAUCUGCAGCCUGGGCCAGCCCGGAGGGUGCCCGUCUGCUCUGCGGGGUGCAGAUGGGGGAACCAGCCAGGGGGUGGCCACCACUGCGGAACCAGGGGGCUACGGCCCAGCUGGGGGCACCUUGCACUCAGGAGUCCCUCCUGCUCCAAGUAGAGGGCUCUUAUUUGACCCUACGGAGAUGAGAAGAGAAUCCUGGUGAUGCCUGAAGCUGAAUUUCCCACUGGACAGGUAGAGGCAGAAGAAGAUCCAGGAAGUAGAAAGGAAGAAUAAGUAAUUAACAGAUGACCAGAUUCUCUUUCCUCGCUCUCUCUUCGGUGAUCUCACAAAUUGUAUGAACAAGAGAAUACCUCGGCAGAGAUCUCAAGGAGUGGACAAGCCUGCCCAAAGUGGGGCAUGGCAACAGCCCUGACCUCCUAUCUCAGCGAUCAACUGAGAUGGAUCUAGGGUGGCUGUUUGAAGCAGGAUCUCAGUUCCACAGCCAAGGAUUGAACCCAGACCAUGGUGGUGAAUGCACCAAAUCCUAACCACUGGACCCACCAGGGACGGUUAGCUAGGAGCAGAGCCCGGGCUCUUUGUCUGCUCUGAAGAAGGAAUAUCAGCAAAGAGAAGGAAAGUCAUGAAAUCAGUAAAGUGUUUAUCAGGAGGAAAAAAAAAAAAGUACCUGCAGAUGGACACGCAGAGAUCAGUCUCCAGGAAGUGAGAGUCCAAGAAGCUCAGAGGCAAGCCUGUUCCAGGACCACACUUUCUGCCUCUGCGCUGACAGAUGAUUCCCUGAAACAGCCACAAGAGUAACAAGCUUGGUCGAGUGGAGUAGGGCAGACCCUUGGCAAAUGUCUCAUAUACUCCAGGCACUGUGCCAAAGGCUUCAUCUCAUCCAACCUUCCAGAGGCCCUAUGAGGCAGGUACUACAUCCCCACCUACGUCGGGGUGUACCCAUUUAGAUGAGGAAACUGAGGAUUACAGAUAUUGCAGUGUGCUCAGGUUUGCCAACUAGAAAACUGUAAUAAAAAUUCUGACAUGACUUUCUCUGUCAAUUUUCUGGUCUUUGCUAUUCUGGUGGAAAUUUAAGAUGCUGAACUCUCAACUUUGUUUCAUGAAAAACUAAACGUGUAAGACUGCUGGAUUGUUACAAUGCCAAUUUCCUGCUCAGAUACUACACAGUAGAUUUGCAAGAUGCUGCCAUUAGGAAAAACUGGGUGAAGGGUAUGUGGAAUCUUUCUGUAUCAUUUCUUACAACAACAUACUAAUUUAAAAUUAUU